rnacentral:rRNA from 1 species
AUUGAACGCUGGCGGCAGGCCUAACACAUGCAAGUCGAACGAGUGGCGGACGGGUGAGUAAUGUCUGGGAAACUGCCCGAUGGAGGGGGAUAACUACUGGAAACGGUAGCUAAUACCGCAUACCAUCGGAUGUGCCCAGAUGGGAUUAGCUAGUAGGUGGGGGAACGGCUCACCUAGGCGACGAUCCCUAGCUGGUCUGAGAGGAUGACCCGCCACACUGGAACUGAGCACCGGUCCAGACUCCUCCGGGAGGCGUUAGUGGGGAAUAUUGCACAAUGGGCGCAAGCCAGAUGCAGCCAUGCCGCGUGUAUGAAGAAGGCCUUCGGGUUGUAAAGUACUUUCAGCGAGGAGGCGUUACUCGCAGAAGAAGCACCGGCUAACUCCGUGCCAGCAGCCGCGGUAAUUC